rnacentral:rRNA from 1 species
AGAUGGCGACCGGCGCACGGAUGAGUAACACGUAUCCAACCUGCCGAUAACUCGGGGAUAGCCUUUCGAAAGAAAGAUUAAUACCCGAUGGCAUAGUUCUUCCGCAUGGUGGAACUAUUAAAGAAUUUCGGUCAUCGAUGGGGAUGCGUUCCAUUAGGUUGUUGGCGGGGUAACGGCCCACCAAGCCUUCGAUGGAUAGGGGUUCUGAGAGGAAGGUCCCCCACAUUGGAACUGAGACACGGUCCAAACUCCUACGGGAGGCAGCAUG